GACGAACGCUGGCGGCGUGCUUAACACAUGCAAGUCGAACGAAGUUGCGAACGGUUGAUUAACGCGUAAUCAACCUGCCCUUCAGAGGGGGACAACAGUUUGAAACGCCUGCUAAUACCGCAUACUGAUGGCGGGGAUUGCGUCUGAUUAGCUAGUGGGAGGGGUAACGGCCCACCAAGGCGAUGAUCAGUAGCCGGUCUCAGAGGAUGAACGGCCACAUUGGGACUGAGACACGGCCCAGACUCCUACGGGAGGCAGCAGUGGGGAAUCUGCCGCAAUGGACGAAAGUCUGACGGAGCAACGCCGCGGGAGUGAUGACGGCCUUCGGGUUGUAAAGCUCUGUUAAUCGGGACGCGGUACCGGAAUAGAAAGCCACGGCUAACUACGUGCCAGCAGCCGCGGUAAUUC
rnacentral:rRNA from 1 species